AAGAUGCCCAUAGGAACAUUGGCCCCUGAUAAGCUGUUGAGUCACUGGACAUACAAGUGGACAAUUUCAGUGACUUGCAAAUACCACUGAUGGCUCUUGAAUUAUUCUGACAAUGUACAUAUCAGAGCUCUGUUGUGGAUUAUAUCACCACCAUUAAGAAUAUUUUUUAGGAAGUGGCCCGUGGUUGGCUCGUGUUUUCAUGAUCUGGUUUGUUUGGAAAUAAGUUCUGGACCUCAGAGUUUUUUGAGGAUAAAAUUUCUAAGACUUUUGAUCUGCUUUGUUGGAAAAUGGACAGCGGAUCUGUUGGUGCUGGGAAUCAGCUUCUCCAUGUGGACAUCCAUAUUGAUGAGCAUGAACCUUGUAGAGGAAUCCUGGACCUUCUCAGCAGACUCCGUCCUCAUUGGAAGGCACAGGACAUUCAGAUGAAGACUUUCACAGAGGGCAUCACCAACCAGCUGAUCGGCUGCUACGUGGGCUCUCUGCAGGAGCCUGGUUGUGUUCUGGUGCGACUGUACGGCAGAAUGACGGAGCUCUAUGUGAACCGGGACCGGGAGGUGGAGAUGUUCCAGGUCUUCCACGCCCACGGCUGCGGUCCACAGAUCUACUGCAGCUUCCAGAACGGCAUCUGCUACGAGUUUGUUAGAGGAACAGUGCUGGAUGAUGAGUUGCUCCGGCAACCCUCCAUCUACAGAUUGAUCGCAGCAGAGAUGGGGAGAAUCCACUCGAUCCAGCCAAAAUGUGGUUUGUCUGUUGAACCUCUGCUCUGGACAAAAAUGUCCCACUUUCUCACACUGGUGCAGAGCAGUAUCAACAGCAGCCCAGCAGAGCCGCGCUGCACAAAAAGUUCUGUGGCUCUACAAGAGGUGCCCAGCUUUGAGACUUUGUCAGCGGAAAUGGAGUCGUUGAGGAGACACCUCUCGCAGAUCGACUCGCCAACGGUCCUCUGCCACAAUGACCUCCUGACAAAAAACAUAAUAUACAACCAUAACGAGGGAAUGGUGAAAUUCAUUGACUACGAGUACGCCGAUUACAACUACCAGGCCUUCGAUAUUGGCAAUCACUUCAACGAAUUUGCCGGUGUAAAUGAUGUUAACUACAGCCUCUAUCCGAGCCGGGAGCUGCAGAGGGACUGGCUGACUGCCUAUCUGGAGAGUUACAAGCACAGCACAGGACGUGAGGUCACUGUUACAGAGGCAGAAGUUACGCAGCUCUACAUUCAAGUCUGCAAAUUCUCACUGGCAUCCAACUUCUUCUGGGGUCUUUGGGCCAUCCUGCAAUCACGCUACUCCUCUAUUGACUUUGACUUCCAAAGAUAUGUUACCAUACAGUGAGCGUACAAUGGCUGAAAUCGGCUUCCUGCUGCUGCUGGCAAACAAGCUGAGAGCGCUGACACUGAACCUUUAAAACCAAAACAACGAGCUAGAGGAGGCUCAAAAGCUUGUGUAGAGUCAGAUACGCCAUGUCACGACUCAACUUCUACUUUGAGAAGAAAGAGGAAUAUUUUGGAUUGACAAUGAUCUAGACACAGAGAAUAAAGGACCAGCAUUUUUGAAAUAAGUAGUAUUACUUUCUCCAAGAAGAGUUUUCAGUGAUGUGACACGUGUCCUUCUUUGUUGCAUUGUACAAUAUCCACUGUGGAGUGAAGGCAUACACUAAGCUUAUAAAAGUGCUCCCCAUUGUUUGUUAUUUCAGGCUGUAGUGUGAGUUAAUAUGUUUUGCUAUCACUGUGAUUUUUAAAAUAUUUGUUUUACCACAGUCAAUAUGCCGAUAAGCCUAUUUGGCAAAUUGAGAUGAAGCUCACGCCAGAAACACAUUAAUUGUUCCCACAUUUAGCCGGGUCGCAUAAAGCCACAAAAACUGAGCCUGAUCAUAAAACCCAUAAGAGGGUUAUUUGCAAUGUGUACCACAGUUCUGAUGGAAAACAAGCUUUCAUUUCAACUUAUUUAGUGCACCAAGUAGUGAAUUAUUUUAAAUCUUUCUCUUUCCUAAGCACUUGUUGUUAAGCUGCUUAGUAGGAACCUUAUGGGAUGUUAAAGCAAGCAGCAAAUUCACAAAUGUAUCAUAAUUUAAAUGUCAAAACAGUGUAUAAAGACAAUGUAAAGGCAGCAUUUGAUUCUGAAUCAGAUUUGUGGAGCUAAAAUCAUGUCACAAAUUUGUUCUAAUCUUAGUGAGUAGUGAAAUGCCUCAAGAGUCAGCGAUUUGUCCACAUCGAUAAAAGAUUUUCAGCUCCCAAAAAGUCACCGUAAAAAGCAUCUAUUCUCACUGAACGACAGACUGAAAGUGCUGUUACUACUCUUCUGUUCGACUGAUUUUCACAACACAGCAGCAGAUUUUGGAGAUUUUGAUUUACAGGUGCUGUUUACCUAUGAUACUGACAACAGCUAAAUUAAACUUAACUCCUUGGA